GCAGAUAAGGUUCAGGGCCACUAAUUUAAACCCUAAAAGUCUUAUACCAGAUCUUUCUAUAGUUUGGGGUGUGCUACUUUCCUGUCUGUGGAAAUCCUGCUUGUCCUACAGGGCUCAUCUCAGCCGCCCCUUCUUAGGUGAAGCCUUCCUUGACUUCCCAGUUUCCUGAGGCAAAGUUAAUUGCUUCCCCACCAUCAUUAAUUCUGGUGGGGUCCAGGCCGUGCCUGGGUGCAAAUCCUGCCUCCAUGACUUCCUAGUUGUACCGUGGCCACAUCUCUCCACUUCUGCAAGCCUCAAUCUUUUUAUCUGUAAAAUGAGGCUAACAAUAAAAGUACCUAUUUUAUGGGGUUAAUGUUCAGUUAAAUGCAAUAAUCUGCUUAUAACAGUGGUGGUCAGUAAAUGCUAGCCAUUUCUUAUAACUCAAAUUCUUUUCUGCCUUUUCUGCACUUUCAAAAUGCAAACUCCUUGAAAGUGGAACGAGUCCACCCCAGCCUCAUGCUCCCCGUACUCUGUCUACACUGUGCUCUGCACGUAGCAGUAUUCAAUAACUAUUUGAUGAACAAAUGAAUCAGAAGGGAAUCCUUAUGUGACAUUAGAACUUGCUUCCCAGUUUAGCUCUGGCAUAAAUCCAGAGUCCAUAUAUUGAUUUGUUGAGCAAUGUUUUCCUUUAUUGAGUUCUUACUAUAUACUAGGCUCUGAGAAUUUAAAGAUAAACACACAAUUGCUGUCAUUGAGGAGAGUCUGGAGGAGGACACAGAUUCAUGAUUUUGUUAUUUUAUUAUGCUUGUAACAUUGUCUCAGAAGUGCCACCGGGGCACAAAGGAAAAAGAGGGGAAGGGGAGGGAGGAGGGAAGUGUUAGUGCAGAAGAUACAAAGAGAAGGAGCUUGCCGGGUGGAGAGGCAGGGAAGGGCAUUGGAGCUGAAGGAACAGCACCUGCUAGGCCAGAAAGGCCCAAGAGGGCGAGCUGCAAUCCGAGGAUGGUGUGGUACACCAGGAAAGCCGUAGGGGGAUGGAACUGGCCAGGCAGACUGUGGCUGGAAUGGGAGAGGCUCGAGGGCUGGACUAAGUGGCUGGGACUUCAUCCAGCCAGCCAAGGAGGGUCUGGUCAUGUUUGUGAGCCGAGAAGGUAAACAGAGCGCACCUGGGCUGGUUUCCUUCUCUCAGGCCUUCCUGGCGGCCACGCCUUACCGAAAGGAGUCCUGACUCAGAGCUGCUGUGCCGUCCCUUCUCCUGUCCCUGCCUGGAAGAGGCCUAUCAGGUUGACCAAGCUUUGCUCCCACCUGUGGAUGAGAAGGGCAGGUGGCCGAGAGUGGGUGUGGAGGAGGAAGACUGGAUGCCAAUGAUCCUGAUCUCACUCUGUCACCAAGGCUGGAGUGCAGCAGCAGAAUUUCAGCUCACUGCAACCUCGACUUGCUGGGUUCAAGGGAUCUCCCAAGUAGCUGGGACUACAGGUGCACACCAUCAUGCCUGGCUAAUUUUUUGUAGGGAUGGGGUUUUACCAUGCUGCCCAGGCUGGUCUUGAACUUCUGAGUUCAAGCGAUCCUCCCUCCUGAGCCUCCUAAAGUGCUGGGAUUACAGGUUUAAAAAAUAUCCUGGACUUUGGAAAAUAUUCUUAUAUAAAGAAGCAAAAAGAGGAUGGAAUAGACUUGUGCUAACACUGAAACUCCAGUCAAGUUGUAAACUGAAAAAGAACGUGUUGAAACAAGGAAUUGCCCCAUAGCCUUCACAGGAUCUCACUCUGUUGCAGUGUCACUGGAGUGCAGUGGUGCAGUCUUGGCUUCCUGCACCAUCUGCCUUCCAGAAUCAAGCAAUUAUCCAGCUUCAGCCUCCCGAGUAGCUGGGACCACAGACGUGCCACCAUGCCUGGCUUAUUUUUUUAUUUUUUGUAGAGAUGGGGUUUCACCAUUGUUGCCCAGGCUGGGCUCAACUCCUGAGCUCAAAGUGAUCCAUCUGCCUCAGCCUCCCAAAGUGCUGGAAUUACAGGCUCAGUCUAUACUAGUAUAUUUACAACUAUAUUUUAUUACAAUAUUUAUUAAAUAUUGUUGUCUUUUGCUAGGAAACUUAAAAACCUUAAAGAACAUCAUUUGUGAGCUCCCAAUUGGCACAAAUUACAUAAGGUACUCUACACAUAUUUUUAUUUUCUUAACUUUUUGUUAUAACAAGUGAAAAAUCUAAAAAUCAACUGAAUAAGCUUUUAUGUUGAAAAGUAUACUUAAAUGAUUCUGGUGAUCAUGGUGUUCUAGUAAGAAAAAUGCUUUGCUAGUGAUGUGACAGCGUACGGCAUAUGAAUAAUAUUUGAAAUCUUGCUACUCUUUUCUUAUAUUCUGCCCCAAACCCAAAGGAAGUUUAAAAUGAGAAAAAAGGUAAAGGUAUGAAAGAACCUUUGGUGACUCAGGUGGCUUCAGACUUACCAGUCACAAAAACUUGCAAGCAGGUUCUAGGAGACUUCACUGCAUCCAUAUAUGCUGUUAAUAGUGUUUUUUUUUUUUUUUGAGACGGAGUCUCACUCUGUUGCCCAGGCUAGAGUGCAGUGGUGUGAUCUCGGCUCGGCUCGCUGCAACCUCCACCUCCUGGGUUCAAGUAAUUCUUCCACUUCAGCCUUACGAGUAGCUGGGACUAUAGGCACCUGCCACCAUGCCAAGCUAAUUUUUGUAUUUUUAGUAGAGACGGGGUUUCACCAUGUUGGCCAGGCUGGUCUCAAACUCCUGACCUCAAGUGCCCACUCCAGCCUCCCAAAGUGCUGGGAUUACAGGCAUGAGCCACCGCACCCGGCUUGUUAUAGUCUUAAAACACUCUACACCAGGGGUUAGUAAACGUUUCCUAUAAAGGGCCAGAUAGUAAAUAUUUUAUGUCACUACGCAACUCUCCACGGUAGCAUGGAAGCAGCCAUAGACAAUACGUAACUGAAUGAGUGUGGUGUGUUCCGGUAACGCUUUAUAGACACAGAAAUUCACUUAAAGUCCAUAUAAUUUUCACAUGCCAUGAAAUAUUUACUGUUUUUUUUUGGGGGGGGAUGGGGACAGGGUCUCACUGUCACUCAGGCUAGAGAGCAGUGGCACCAUCACGGCUCAGUGUAGCCUAGACCUCCUGAGCUCAAGUGAUCCUCCUAUCUCUCAGCCUCCUGAGUAGCUGGGAUCACAGGCAUGUGCCACUAUGCCCAGUUAAUUUUUGUAUUUUUUGUAGAGAUGAGGUUUCACCAUGUUGCCAAGGCUGGUCUUGAACUCCUGGGUUCAAGCAAUCCAGCUGCCUUGGCCUCCUGAAAUGUUAGGAUUACAGGCGUGAGCCACUGCACCCAGUGAUUUAAUAGAUGUAAAAAUCAUUCUUAGUUCUUGGGGCAAAUAAAACAGGCUUGCAGGCCAGAUUUGGCCUGGGAGGUAUAGUGUAGACUGGUCCACACGAUUGGAGAGUCAGCAGGCUCUUACUCUCAGACUUCCUGGUGGUCCUCACCAGUCUAUUUUACAGUGGCUUCUUUAUUUCCUUUCUGCCACUGUUGAUGGGACUGUAGCGUCACUGCAUGUGACUGAUACCAAAAGAGAAAGGUUCUUUUAAUUAAUCUUUCCAUACUAUCCAGAAGAUUUUUUUCAGUUUUAUUUCUUAAACAUAUAAGAGGGCAUUAUAAAAUGACAUUAUAAUUAUAAAAGAUUUUCUUUUAAGAACAAUGUUUUUAGGCCUACUAAUAUUACUUAAUAAAAAGAGCAGAUAUUU
rnacentral:lncRNA from 1 species